GGGCCCGCACAAGCGGAGGAACAUGUGGUUUAAUUCGAUGAUACGCGAGGAACCUUACCCGGGCUUGAACUGCAGGAGACUUUUCCGGAAACGGAUUUUCCCUUCGGGGCUCCUGUGGAGGUGCUGCAUGGUUGUCGUCAGCUCGUGCCGUGAGGUGUCGGCUUAAGUGCCAUAACGAGCGCAACCCUUGCUGUCAGUUACUAACAGGUAAUGCUGAGGACUCUGGCGGGACUGCCAUCGCAAGAUGUGAGGAAGGUGGGGAUGACGUCAAAUCAGCACGGCCCUUACGUCCGGGGCUACACACGUGUUACAAUGGGAGGUACAGAAGGCAGCUACCCGGCGACGGGAUGCCAAUCCCCAAAACCUCUCUCAGUUCGGACUGGAGUCUGCAACCCGACUCCACGAAGCUGGAUUCGCUAGUAAUCGCGCAUCAGCCAUGGCGCGGUGAAUACGUUCCCGGGCCUU
rnacentral:rRNA from 1 species